rnacentral:rRNA from 1 species
GACGGGGGGGGCAAGUGUUCUUCGGAAUGACUGGGCGUAAAGGGCACGUAGGCGGUGAAUCGGGUUGAAAGUGAAAGUCGCCAAAAAGUGGCGGAAUGCUCUCGAAACCAAUUCACUUGAGUGAGACAGAGGAGAGUGGAAUUUCGUGUGUAGGGGUGGAAAUCCGUAGAUCUACGGAAGGAACGCCAAAAGCGAAGGCAGCUCUCU